GAUUCCCAAAUCCUCCCAGUCAGGGUUCAGCACUGAACACAGGUCACUCACCAUGGACUUAGGGCUUAUACUGGUUUUCUCUGUCCUUAUUUUAAAAGAUGUUCAGUGUGAGGUGCAGUUGCUGGAGUCUGGAGGAGGCUUAGUGCAGCCUGGAAAGUCCCUGCAACUGUCCUGUGCAGCGUCUGGAUUCACCUUCAGUAAUUAUGAAAUGCACUGGGUCCGCCAGGCUCUAGGGAAAGGGCUGGAGUGGGUCGCAUAUAUUAGUGAAGGUGGUAGUACCUCCAGGUAUACUGAUGCUGUGAAGGGCAGGUUCACAAUCUCCAGAGACAAUGCCAAGAACAUUCUGUACCUGGAAAUGAGCAAUAUGAGGUCUGAGGACACAGCCAUGUAUUACUGUACAAGAGACACAGUGUGUGAGUUGAACAUGAAUAGUGAGAUUUCAGAACAUGCUGUGCUUCGACUACACAGCAGUAUUGACAAGGUCAUGGAGUCCAGAAGCAGAAUAGGAGUCAUCAGCUGA